AAUAAAAAGUUAAAAAAAAAUAAAACCAAUCAUUGAACAAAAUUCUCCCUCUAUCCCUUAGCUUCCAGCCAGGAUCCAGCAACCACCAACACAAAUAGGAAAACCAAUUGGAGAGAAAAAAAGGAAACAAAUGACUUUUGCCUUACUACUUGUCAGGUUAUGAGGGUUCGGAUUAUAAAGAUCCCAGAGAACUGCCUUCCCCUUUUCACGGUGUGAGGACACAGCAAAAAGAUGGUGGUUUAUAAAACAGGAACUGAUUCCUCACCAGACACCAAAUCCUGCCAAUGCCUUGAUCUUGGAAUUCCAAGCCUCCAAACUAUAAGAAAUAAACUUCUGUUGUUUAAACUA